rnacentral:rRNA from 1 species
UACAGAGGGUGCAAGCGUUGUUCGGAAUUAUUGGGCGUAAAGGGAGUGUAGGCUGCGAGGUAGGUCUUCUGUGAAAUCUACGGGCUUAGCCUGUAACGUGCAGAGGAAACUGCUUCGCUUGAGUGUCGGAGAGGAUAGGGGAAUACCCGGUGUAGAGGUGAAAUUCGUAGAUAUUAGGAAGAACACCAGUGGCGAAGGCGGCCAUCUGGCUCGGUACUGACGCUCAGGUUCGAAAGCGUGGGGAGCAAACAGG